AAUCGAAACACCUAUCCAGCUACUAUUAAGUACCGAGUGAUGGCAGAUGCCGAGAAUAUUAUCAAUGCGGAUAAUUCCUCCGUUAGUUCAGGAGACGAAUCUGACUAUGUCCUGGCUGAGGGGUGUGCCCAAACGGAUGAUGAUGAAUCUUCCACUUCGGGCUCUUAUACUGAUGCUUCUUCAGAGUAUGCAGCAGAAUGUGUUGAGGCAGUAGAAGCCAGCAAAGGAGAUGCAAAGCCAAUAGAUGAUUCACGUGAUCGAAAGACAGGCCAAGCGAGCGGCUGGUGCGUUAUAUGCUAAUUUAAUUGUUGACCUGUUUCUCGUUUACACUUUCACAUACAAAUGCCAACUGGAACUUCAAACAUACAUAUGCUGUGGGUUUUUUCAACAAUUUAAACACACUGAAAUAUCAAGAUAAAAUGGGAAAAUAUUUAUUUCUGGUCUUCCCAUUCGAACCCCGUCUGCGUACAGAAUUGUAUGCACCCCAAAAACUAUAGUUACUCGUAAUUUGAGGCGACGACUGGUCUUUCAUUAAGUCGCUGUGCAAAUCCAAGUCGCUCUAUCUCAUUGAAUAACUACAAAUCAUGCAGCAAUCAAAUGUGGGCAUGGGAAUGAUGUGUGGGAUACGCAGGAAUAUACUCAUUGUGGAAGCCAUUCUGUUCUGGGCGCUUGUCAUUUAAUAUCCGCAAUUAAAGUGGUAAUCAAUCAAAAUGAACAGGCAGAAAACCUAAAUGAAUUAAAAGCAAACGAAGGAACAAAGCAAAGGAUGAAUGCACAGGACGAACCGGAAUGGGAGUCGCCACAAACACACAAUAAACAGAAACGAAUGGGAAAGAAAACUGAAGCGCAGCAAAUGAACGGAAAAACUGGUGGAAAAAAAAGGAAAGGCAAAGAAAAGGAAACCAAAAAAGCACCAGAACAAACAGGCAGAAACCAAAGCGAAUACACUGGGGGAAUACUCGUACCAACCGCAAAUAGAAGCUAAACUUAUGGCGAAAUAAAUA